rnacentral:lncRNA from 1 species
UCGAGGAGUGGGCGGGGUUAAAGUGAUACUGGAUUCCUAUUGGCUGAGGCCGGGGCAGCAGCAGCCGUGAGCGCUGUGCAGCCGAAGCAGAAGAGAAGCAGUCAGGCAGCCAGCGCUUCUCAACGGGGGGUUUAAAAGAGAAACUAGCCCAACUGUUCGUUCUGGACCGCCGAACACACCCCCUUAACUUAAUACAGUUGUGAACAAUUAGCAUUAUUAGCUAGUCUUGGCCUCUGUCGUCAGUAUUAGAGGCGAAUAGAUAAAAAAGCGAGGAUGUUGGUCCCCGCGGGAAGAUAAUGAAGAAGCUGCGCGUGUUGUUGCUGUGCGCCGUUUUAGCUCUCCUGUGCUGGCACUCUUGUCAUCAUGUUUAUUGUUCAGAAGAGAUCUCCUCUGGCCCAGGACUCCCAGCACAGGAUGACAGCCGUUACACAGCGCAGGAACCAGGGGCCGACGACAAGGUUGAAGAGGAAAGGGCGACACACACGCAGUCAUCGUACGACGUGGGUCUGGAGACAGAGAGAGCUGCACUAAAGGAAACAUCAUUGCACUCACAAGACGCCCUGCACGAAGAGAAGCACAAACAGACUGUGAAUUUGGAAGAAGUUUUGGAGGAGCCGCAGAUUCAGCUUGAGUCUGCUCUCCCUGAGCUAGAACAACAACAACAACAACAGCAGCAGGAGCAGCAACCAGAACCCCAGAGCACCCAACAAUCAGACCAACAACAGUCAGCUCAGCCACCAACACUUACACAGCCCCAAACAGCACCGCCACUCUCCCAGCCCCAGCCAGACCCUGAAACUCUACAGGCCACUGCCACAGAAGAUCAGGGUGCCCACGCCUCCGCUGCUUUAACCCCCCCACAGACUGACCCACAUGGAGAAGACCCGUCUGCACCUCCUGCUGAACUCCAGAAGAGCCCAGAGUCAGCCUCACCUACCUCAGUCACCUCCUCCGAGAGCUCCUCCAGUGGACUAGAUGUUCCGCGUCCUGAUGCCCCUGUAGAGAACUCUAGUGCCAGUCAGUGUGAGGUGGG